GUCGAGCGGAUCGAUGGGAGCUGGCUCCCUGAGAUCAGCGGCGGACGGGUGAGUAACACGUGGGUAACCUGCCUGUAAGACUGGGAUAACUCCGGGAAACCGGGGCUAAUACCGGAUAAUUCAGUUCCUCGCAUGAGGAACUGUUGAAAGGUGGCUUCUGCUACCACUUACAGAUGGACCCGCGGCGCAAUAACUAGUUGGUGAGGUAACGGCUCACCAAGGGAACGAUGCGUAACCCAACUGAAAGGGUGAUCGGCCACACUGGGACUGAAACACGGCCCAAACUCCUACGGGAGGCAGCAGUAGGGAAUCUUCCGCAAUGGACGAAAGUCUGACGGAACAACGCCCCGUGGGUGAAGAAGGUUUUCGGAUCGUAAAACUCUGUUGGUAGGGAAGAACAAGUGGCGUUCGAAUAGGGCGGCACCUUGACGGUACCUAACCAGAAAGCCACGGCUAACUACGUGCCAGCAGCCGCGGUAAUACGUAAGUGGCAAGCGUUGUCCGGAAUUAUUGGGCGUAAAGCGCGCGCAGGUGGUUUC
rnacentral:rRNA from 1 species